AUGGCUAAGAUUCUUCCUCGACCAUGGAAGGACCUCCCUGCUGACCUCCUUGUCGAGAUCCCCCGCUGCCUCCCGUGCCUCGUUGAUCAUGUGUACAUGUCUAGUGUGUGCCACGAUUGGUGGGUGGCUGUCCCAAAGCCCCCGCAUCUGCACAAGCUCCCUUGGCUCCUCCUCCCAAAUCCCACUACCACACCUCUCUCUCUUCCUCCAGUCCCGGAAAGCAUGCGAAUGGCAUCCUUCUAUUGUAUCCUAGAUAAUGGAUCUACCCACAACCUUCGCAUCAGACAUGAUGUAGGCGGGGCGCACUUCUUUGGCUCCUAUGAUGGCGGUUGGAUCUUCCUUGCCCUCGGCCAGACCAACCACCACACGCUUCUCAACCUCCACACCAACCAACACUUCCCUCUCCCUAAUUCCAUCUCUGUGGGAUUCGUUGGUCGGUAUGUACAAAAUCCUAUCUCGAUGGUCAUCCUCUCUGCCACCCUUUCUUCCUCGCCGAUGACAAACACAGAGUGCUUCGGUGCCGCUAUCGUUGACUUAAACUUUUUGCCGCACGCAAGCCCUCGAACACAACUUUCCUUCUGGAGGUUGGACGGGGCCAAUCAUCACCGUCCAGUGGCGAUGGGUUUCAUUGGCAAUUGCUUGGACCCAUGGUCCCGAUUUGAGGAUGUCAUACAUCAUAAAGGAGCUUUCCAUUUCCUCACCGAUACAGAGCAUGUCAUUGCGUACAACAUAUUGAAUUUCCAAGAAGGUGUCUGGUUGGAAGUUGGUGUUCAUCGGUACUAUUUUCAGAGGAGGUCACCACACAACUCCAAUGUGAUAGUCACCGCUCGCUACCUUGUGGAGUCCCGGGGGGAACUGCUGAUGGUCAUGAGGUUGGUGACAUUUUGUCCAGGACAUGUCGUGUCACUACAAGCAGGGGCAUUCCAGGUGUACCGGAUGAUGCAACACCUCAACAAUGCGGGAUUGGUUGUACUCACCUGGGAAGAGUUGCCCAAGCUAGAUGAAAGGAUGUUGUUCAUUGCACGAGGACGCUCUAGGUCCUACGAGGUGGCUGAUUGUCCCGGCUAUGGAUUUCAAGAUGGUAUCUACUUCUUGGAUGAUGCAACCUCUAAUUGUGUAGAGGUGAUGGUCCAGCACCCCCCAUUUCGGCGGUACACCUACAAUGACAAUGGGAGGUAUCGGUGGGUGGACGUGACACCGCCCCGCCAAGAUUUCCAGCGCUGGUUCCCGGACAAGGAACAGUCUAACUACUCGUCUCCAAUUUGGUUUCUCCCUUGA
rnacentral:rRNA from 1 species